UUGUGUUCUUGUGGUCAUCUAUAUUAUUAUUACAUGAGCUAGAUGAAUUUUGUGGGUACAUUCGCUAUAGGCCCUCACGAGACCUUACUCGUCCACUAGGGCUGCCUAGGGGUUUAAAGGGCUUGUUGCAUAUGCCAAAUGCAACCGUGAUCACCUACGGAAGUGGUAUAUAUCUAUUAGGUGUUAGUUUUAUUUAUUUUAUUUGCCCGAGGACGUGCAAAAGACUAAGUGUGGGGAUAUUUGAUAGAGCAUAUAUUUAUAUAUGUUUUUAUAUGAUUUUAUUCCCAUAAUUUUAGUAUUUUGUAAAUAAUCGGGAUGUUACUAAUUGAUUUUAAGUGUUUAAUUUCAGGAAAAUAAAUAUUCCUAAAGUUGGAUUAAAUCAAGCUUAUUUG
rnacentral:lncRNA from 1 species